rnacentral:rRNA from 1 species
ACGCUCGACACCUACGGGAGUCAUCAGUGGGGAAUAUUGCACAAUGGGGGAAACCCUGAUGCAGCGACGCCGCGUGAGCGAAGAAGUAUCUCGGUAUGUAAAGCUCUAUCAGCAGGGAAGAAGAUGACGGUACCUGACUAAGAAGCACCGGCUAAAUACGUGCCAGCAGCCGCGGUAAUCUGAGCGGGCUGGCAAGGC